UGCGGGCCGCGCCGCUCGCCCGCCGCGGGCGCUCUAGCCACCUGGAGGAGCGCCCCUCUAUGGUACCGGCCCACCCGCCGGCGCUCCCUGCCUUUCUGCCUCGAGCAGCUUCCGCAGACGGCCGAGCAAGAGGCUGGACGAGGUCUGAACCAGGAAGGUCAAGCCAAUAACCCAGGGAACGCACGGACUGCUGUAAAAAUCAAAUGAGACAAUGUGAGGGCUGAGCCCAAGCCUGCACGAGGAGCUGCUUGCUUCCUGCCCAUUGAUAGGUGACGUUACUGUGCAUCGUCCAGGCCAGCCUCAGGCACCCUCGCAUGACUCCUCUUCCAUGCCCUCCGGCAUCCUCAUCUUAGUCCCCCCAGGACAUGUGGUGGGAGUGAAAGAAUCACAUUGGCCUGAAGAGCUGAUAGU